GGGUUAAUAUUCCCGUACUUGGUGUUACUGCGAAGGGGGGACGGAGAAGGCUAUGUUGGCCGGGCGACGGUUGUCCCGGUUUAAGCGUGUAGGUGUGUGUUCCAGGUAAAUCCGGUUCACUUUAACACUGAGGCGUGACGACGAGGCACUACGGUGCUGAAGCAACAAAUGCCCUGCUUCCAGGAAAAGCCUCUAAGCAUCAGGUAACAUCAAAUCGUACCCCAAACCGACACAGGUGGUCAGGUAGAGAAUACCAAGGCGCUUGAGAGAACUCGGGUGAAGGAACUAGGCAAAAUGGUGCCGUAACUUCGGGAGAAGGCACGCUGACACGUAGGUGAAGUGAUUUACUCACGGAGCUGAAGUCAGUCGAAGAUACCAGCUGGCUGCAACUGUUUAUUAAAAACACAGCACUGUGCAAACACGAAAGUGGACGUAUACGGUGUGACGCCUGCCCGGUGCCGGAAGGUUAAUUGAUGGGGUCAGCGCAAGCGAAGCUCCUGAUCGAAGCCCCGGUAAACGGCGGCCGUAACUAUAACGGUCCUAAGGUAGCGAAAUUCCUUGUCGGGUAAGUUCCGACCUGCACGAAUGGCGUAAUGAUGGCCAGGCUGUCUCCACCCGAGACUCAGUGAAAUUGAACUCGCUGUGAAGAUGCAGUGUACCCGCGGCAAGACGGAAAGACCCCGUGAACCUUUACUAUAGCUUGACACUGAACAUUGAGCCUUGAUGUGUAGGAUAGGUGGGAGGCUUUGAAGCGUGGACGCCAGUCUGCGUGGAGCCGACCUUGAAAUACCACCCUUUAAUGUUUGAUGUUCUAACGUGGACCCGUGAUCCGGGUUGCGGACAGUGUCUGGUGGGUAGUUUGACUGGGGCGGUCUCCUCCUAAAGAGUAACGGAGGAGCACGAAGGUUGGCUAAUCCUGGUCGGACAUCAGGAGGUUAGUGCAAUGGCAUAAGCCAGCUUGACUGCGAGCGUGACGGCGCGAGCAGGUGCGAAAGCAGGUCAUAGUGAUCCGGUGGUUCUGAAUGGAAGGGCCAUCGCUCAACGGAUAAAAGGUACUCCGGGGAUAACAGGCUGAUACCGCCCAAGAGUUCAUAUCGACGGCGGUGUUUGGCACCUCGAUGUCGGCUCAUCACAUCCUGGGGCUGAAGUAGGUCCCAAGGGUAUGGCUGUUCGCCAUUUAAAGUGGUACGCGAGCUGGGUUUAGAACGUCGUGAGACAGUUCGGUCCCUAUCUGCCGUGGGCGCUGGAGAACUGAGGGGGGCUGCUCCUAGUACGAGAGGACCGGAGUGGACGCAUCACUGGUGUUCGGGUUGUCAUGCCAAUGGCACUGCCCGGUAGCUAAAUGCGGAAGAGAUAAGUGCUGAAAGCAUCUAAGCACGAAACUUGCCCCGAGAUGAGUUCUCCCUGAGACUUAAAGUCUCCUGAAGGAACGUUGAAGACGACGACGUUGAUAGGCCGGGUGUGUAAGCGCAGCGAUGCGUUGAGCUAACCGGUACUAAUGAACCGUGAGGCUUAACCUUAC
rnacentral:rRNA from 1 species